rnacentral:rRNA from 1 species
AUGGGAGGAGGCGUCAUGCGCACCGCCGCGAAGGUCGGCCUCGCCGGGGGCGCCGCGGCGGCGGCGGGCCGCUUCCGCAACGUCGCCCCGUCCUUCGCCACGGCCCCCGCGGCCGAGGCCGCCGCGGCGGCGCCGCUGCUGUCCGCGGCCGGGGAGAUCCCGCCGGUGGCGCCGGCCGGGUCGCAGUGGGCGUCCUGGGAGGUGGACGACUGGGAGUUCGCGGACUGGAGGUCCGAGUCGGCGUCCGAGGCCGACGUGGCCGUGGUCGGGGGGCCCAGGCUGGUCUUCGCCCCGCCCUCGCGGGAGGAGGCCGAGGAGGCCACCGCCGAGCUCCGGGAGGCUAUUGACAGGGUUUAUUUUAAAGAGACUCCAGUAGAAGUUGUUAAGGAACAUGAUCAAGAGCUUAGCAAGCUGGGAGCCGAUGCAUUAAUUCCUGCUAUGCCGGGACAUGUAGUGCAGGCUUUUACAUUGUUAAAAUCAAGCCCAGAGGCACAGAGCGUUGUUGCCUCGCUUGCAUCAGAUAAAAAUGUGUGGGACGCGGUGUUGAAGAACGAGAGGGUUAUGGAAUUUUACAAGAGUCACCAGCAAACUCUGGUCAAUACUUUUCCUGAGGGCACCGACUCUAGUGACUCAGUAGAGUCACCGGAGAAAUUUGAAGAGGCAUCCCCAGAAUAUGCACUUCCCACUGCCUCGCCUUUGUCGGACUUUGUGGACAAUGCGAAGAAGACGAUGAUGGAGAUGGUUGACAACAUAACCAACUUCUUCCAAGACCUGUUCCACAACCCGGCAGAAGCUGAGGCCGGACCGGGCUCAUCCUCUAAAAAGCCUUCGUUCGCGGAGAUGGCGGCUGGCGGAUCUUUCGUGGCUCUUGCCAUGGCGGUCAUCCUAGUUGUUCUGUUCAAGAGGGCAUGA